rnacentral:rRNA from 1 species
GAUGAACACUAGCUACAGGCUUAACACAUGCAAGGCGAGGGGCAUCAGGAACAUAGCUUGCUAUGUGUGCUGGCGACCGGCGCACGGGUGCGUAACACGUGUCCAAUCUGCCCGUUACUCGGGGAUAGCCUUUCGACAGAACGAUUAAUCCCCGAUAGUCUUAUUAAGAGGCAUCUUCCUUAAUUACGGAUUGAUCGGUAACGGAUGAGGAUUCGUAUGAUUAGUUAGUUGGCGGGGUGACGGCCCACCAAGACUACGAUCAUUAGGGGUUCUGAGAGGAAGGUCCCCCACACGGGAACUGAGACACGGUCCAGACUCCUACGGGAGGCAGCAGUGAGGAAUAUUGGUCAAUGGACGAGAGUCUGAACCAGCCAAGUAGCGUGAAGGAUGACUGCCCUAUGGGUUGUAAACUUCUUUUGUUUGGGAAUAAAGUUAGGUACGUGUACCUAUUUGUAUGUACCAUUCGAAUAAGCAUCGGCUAAUUCCGUGCCAGCAGCCGCAGUAACAC